rnacentral:rRNA from 1 species
GACGGAAGGUGCAAGCGUUGCUCGGAAUCACUGGGCGUAAAGGGUGCGUAGGCGGCCGUGCAAGUCUGGCGUGAAAGCCCCGGGCUCAGCCCGGGAAGUGCGCUCGAAACUGCGCGGCUCGAGUGCCGGAGGGGAGAGUGGAAUUCCUGGUGUAGCGGUGAAAUGCGUAGAUAUCAGGAGGAAUACCGGUGGCGAAAGCGACUCUCUGGACGGCAACUGACGCUGAGACGCGAAAGCUAGGGGAGCGAACAGG